UGGGGUGUAACUCAGUGGUAGAGUACCUGCCUCACACAUGUGAGAAACUGGGUUCGAUUCUCAGCAUCACAU
rnacentral:tRNA from 1 species